AUUGAACGCUGGCGGCAGGCCUAACACAUGCAAGUCGAGCGGAUGAAGGGAGCUUGCUCCUGGAUUCAGCGGCGGACGGGUGAGUAAUGCCUAGGAAUCUGCCUGGUCGUGGGGGAUAACGUCCGGAAACGGGCGCUAAUACCGCAUACGUCCUGAGGGAGAAAGUGGGGGAUCUUCGGACAUCACGCUAUCAGCAGCGCCUAGGUCGGAUUAGCUAGUUGGUGGGGUAAAGGCCUACCAAGGCGACGAUCCGUAACUGGACUGAGAGGAUGAUCAGUCACACUGGAACUGAGACACGGUCCAGACUCCUACGGGAGGCAGCAGUGGGGAAUAUUGGACAAUGGGCGAAAGCCUGAUCCAGCCAUGCCGCGUGUGUGAAGAAGGUCUUCGGAUUGUAAAGCACUUUAAGUUGGGAGGAAGGGCAGUAAGUUAAUACCUUGCUUUAUUGACGUUACCAACAGAAGAAGCACCGGCUAACUUCGUG
rnacentral:rRNA from 1 species